rnacentral:rRNA from 1 species
CCUACGGGCGGCAGCAGUGGGGAAUAUUGGACAAUGGGGGAAACCCUGAUCCAGCGACGCCGCGUGAGUGAAGAAGUAUUUCGGUACGUAAAGCUCUAUCAGCAGGAAAGAAAAUGAUGGUACCUGACUAAGAAGCAGCGGACAACUACGUGCCAGCAGCCGUGGUAAUAUGGAGGGGGCAAGCGUUAUCCGGAUUUACUGGGUGUAAAGGGAGCGUAGACGGCAGUGCAAGUCUGGAGUGAAAUGCCGGGGUCCAACCCCGGAACUGCUCUGGAAACUGUGAAGCUGGAGUGCAGGAGAGGCAAGCGGAAUGCCUGGUGUAGCGGUGAAAUGCAUAGAUAUCGGGAGGAACACCGGCGGCGAAGGCAGCUUGCUGGACUGUAACUGACGUUGAGGCUCGAAGGCGUGGGGAGCAAACAGGAUUAGAUACCCUAGUAGUC